UACGUAGGGUGCAAGCGUUAAUCGGAAUUACUGGGCGUAAAGCGUGCGCAGGCGGCUUUGCAAGACAGAUGUGAAAUCCCCGGGCUUAACCUGGGAACUGCAUUUGUGACUGCAUGGCUGGAGUGCGGCAGAGGGGGAUGGAAUUCCGCGUGUAGCAGUGAAAUGCGCAGAUAUCGGGAGGAACACCCGUAGCGAAGGCGGCACUCUGGGCCGGAACUGACGCUGAGGAGCGAAAGCGUGGGGAGCAAACAGG
rnacentral:rRNA from 1 species